rnacentral:rRNA from 1 species
AUAUCAGUCAUGCAUAGCAUAUCAAUAAGCGGAGGAAAAGAAACUAACAAGGAUUCCCUUAGUAACGGCGAGUGAAGCGGGAAGAGCUCAAAUUUGAAAUCUUCAAGGUUUUACCUUGACGAAUUGUAGUUUAAAGAAGUGUUUUCUGUUGAAGUUUUGGUAAAAGUUCUUUGGAAUAGGACAUCAUAGAGGGUGAGAAUCCCGUAUUUGACCAUUACUUUCAGCUUUGUGAUACACUUUCAAGGAGUCGGAUUGUUUGGGAAUGCAGUCCAAAAUGGGUGGUAAAUUUCAUCUAAAGCUAAAUAUUGGCGAGAGACCGAUAGCGAACAAGUACCGUGAGGGAAAGAUGAAAAGAACUUUGAAAAGAGAGUUAAACAGUACGUGAAAUUGUCAAAAGGGAAGCGUUUGACACCAGUGUUGUUUUCUCGAAAAUCAAUUAAAAAGAGUUGGAUUUUGUGUUGUAUUGACUUUAUCAGCUUUCUUCACUCUUUUCCAGCUUUUUUUAAUGCACUUUUCGUUUAACAAGUCAACAUCAGUUUCUUUUGUUGUAAAAAGGUCAUUGGAAGGUGGCUUUCUCUUCGGAGAAAGUGUUUAUAGCCUUUGACUCAUGCAAUCGGAGAGACUGAGGUCUGCAGCGUAGAUCCUUCGGGGUUAGAUACAUUUGUGCUAAGUUAUAGCUUUUCAUAGACAACUUGUUGACUAUGUUUAGUCUUGUAGCUUACUCGCUUAUGCUAUUUUACCUACGCUUAGGAUGUUGAACUCUAUCACACACAG